AUUGAACGCUGGCGGCAUGCCUUACACAUGCAAGUCGAACGGCAGCACGGGAGCAAUCCUGGUGGCGAGUGGCGAACGGGUGAGUAAUAUAUCGGAACGUGCCCAGUCGUGGAGGAUAACGCAGCGAAAGCUGUGCUAAUACCGCAUACGAUCUACGGAUGAAAGCGGGGGAUCGCAAGACCUCGCGCGAUUGGAGCGGCCGAUAUCAGAUUAGCUAGUUGGUGAGGUAAAGGCUCACCAAGGCGACGAUCUGUAGCUGGUCUGAGAGGACGACCAGCCACACUGGAACUGAGACACGGUCCAGACUCCUACGGGAGGCAGCAGUGGGGAAUUUUGGACAAUGGGCGCAAGCCUGAUCCAGCAAUGCCGCGUGCAGGAUGAAGGCCUUCGGGUUGUAAACUGCUUUUGUACGGAACGAAACGGCGAGCUUUAAUACAGUUUGCUAAUGACGGUACCGUAAGAAUAAGCACCGGCUAACUACAUGCCAGCCGCCCGCCGUAAAAC
rnacentral:rRNA from 1 species